GAGAAAAACUGAAUUUAAAGCUCAACAACAAUAAGAAAUAGCACAAGAGUAAGGGCAACUACAAGAAGAAAUGGCCAACAAUAAUAACAACUGUUCUGUGAAGGAUCACGCCUAUCCUAACACUGGGGAUUUCAAGCCAAGUAUCACAAGACCAAGAGUAGAAGCUAAUAAUUUUGAAUUAAAGCCUGCACUCUGUCAGAUGGUACAACAAUCACAAUUUGGAAGAAAUCCAAGUGAAAGCCCACAUGUGCAUCUAGCACACUUU
rnacentral:misc_RNA from 1 species